rnacentral:rRNA from 1 species
UACGAAGGGGGCUAGCGUUGUUCGGAAUCACUGGGCGUAAAGCGCACGUAGGCGGAUCUUUAAGUCAGGGGUGAAAUCCCGAGGCUCAACCUCGGAACUGCCUUUUGAUACUGGGGAUCUCGAGUCCGGGAGAGGUGAGUGGAACUGCGAGUGUAGAGGUGAAAUUCGUAAGAUAUUCGCAAGAACACCAGUGGCGAAGGCGGCUCACUGGCCCGGAACUGGACGACUG